rnacentral:tRNA from 1 species
AGUGAAGAGCCUGUGGAAAGGACUAUCCUGAUAGGAUGAAAAACGUAAUAAAUUACCUUCAUUA